rnacentral:lncRNA from 1 species
CAUGCAGCCCUGCUGCGGAUUGGCGGGAGGACCCCAGGCUGGGCCAACCCAGCAGCCCCCGGCCAGGAGCGGGCAUCCCAAUGGGGAAAUCGGCCAGGAGGGGCUGGGGAAGCUGGUGCCUUCGCCCGCGCCCCGUGAGCUUUACCUCCGUGCGACAAGAGCGGUGGCUCCGGGCGGGGCCCACGCAGCUGGAGCCUCCAUCUCUCCUGCGGGACCAGAGCACCGGGAAGACCUGACCGAGACCCAACGUCCCCGCCCCCGUUCUGGGGCUCUCUGCAGGCCCCAACUUCUGCGGGACUCUCCGGUGGGAGCAGCAAGGGUUCUCAGGAACAACCCCUAUACAAACCGGGACAGAGGCACCUCACUACUCCUUCUGUGCCCCACCUUCUCCACUGACCCUGCCGGAGUGCAGCACACACAGCAAGCAUUUAAUAAAUCGCUUGAAGUGGGGAACAUCUGUACUCGGCAGGUGCAGCAUCAGGAGCUGGCGACCAGGGGCAACAGGCAGCACGCGUGCUCCAGCUCAGAGUGGAAGGCCCUGGGAAAUGGUUUGAUUUCCUGCGCUGAACUGAUGCUGCUUCCAGAAUGAAUCUGCUCCUUGGUGGGUUCUGCUGAUGUGGCCAGUGCUAGCCUAGGCCACGACCACCUAGCCCACCACCCAGAAGGCAGCAUCCCCUGCUCCUGCUUUAACAACCUGGCCCAUUUUCAUCUCUCCUACCUCUGGGAGUAGCAGGGGCGCUCCCGGAAGCUGACACCCCCUCCACAGGUCCGGCUGCAGGGGCUCCACUGGCCCCAGGGUCCCCAGGUGUCACUCUGCCGCCUCACCUUGGGAGCCUGCAGAAGACAGGACCAUGCAUCAGCAUUGCCCACUCACAGCCUGAUCCCAGAGGCCCCUCCAAAGAUGCUCUGCCUAAAACCCUCCCCCACCCAUCAAGAAGUCUGGGAUUCUCCCUUCCAGGGCCCGCCUUUAGGACUCAGCAACACUGCCGGGCACCCCAAAACAUAUUCCUUUUCAGAAUUAGCCUGCUUUCCUCAUAAGGAGCUGAGAGCCAGGCCUGGAGGGCGGGAGCAGGAGCAGCUGGGAAGAGUUUGGAGUUUCAGGGGCCACUGGAGGGAGGGACCCUACAGCCAGGGGCAGUUUGAGGGUCCAGGCAUUUGUAGGUUAACCGUGAUGUAGGGAAGGGGGCCCUAAAAGAAAAUAAAGGGAAGCAACGUGGGGGGAUCCUGCUAAUCUGGCCGAGACUCCCAGGAGUACCCCAAUAUUCAUCCCCUCCUUCUCCCAGUACCCCAAUAUUCAUCCCCUCCUCCCAGUACCCCAAUAUUCAUCCCCUCCUUCUCCCAUUGUGAGAGAACGCUUGAAAACUUGACUCAGCUGGGUACCUGGCUGCCCAAAAUUAAAAAAAAAAUACAUUUC